rnacentral:rRNA from 1 species
UGGGGAAUAUUGGACAAUGGGGGAAACCCUGAUCCAGCAAUGCCGCGUGGGUGAUGAAGGCCUUCGGGUUGUAAAGCCCUUUUGGCGGGGACGAUGAUGACGGUACCCGCAGAAUAAGCCCCGGCUAACUUCGUGCCAGCAGCCGCGGUAAUACGAAGGGGGCUAGCGUUGUUCGGAAUUACUGGGCGUAAAGGGCGCGUAGGCGGCUUGGCAAGUUGGGCGUGAAAGGCCUGGGCUUAACCCGGGAAAUGCGUUCGAUACUGCCGAGCUAGAGUGUGGGAGAGGAUGGCGGAAUUCCCAGUGUAGAGGUGAAAUUCGUAGAUAUUGGGAAGAACACCAGUGGCGAAGGCGGCCAUCUGGACCACAACUGACGCUAAGGCGCGAAAGCGUGGGGAGCAAACAGGAUUAGAUACCCCCGUAGUCC